AAAUUGUAUUUGCCAACAAAUAUAAAUAAGGCAUGUCCUGUGUUUUUACAAUUUACAAUAAAAAAUCUUGCAUCUUCUGCUAAUAAAGUUGCAUCGAAGUUUUAGGCUUUCGUAAACAAUGCUCUUUAUUCUGGGCCAGAUCGAUGUUACUAGUGGUCAUAACGUUAAUAUUUUCGUUUGCGUCAAAACAGAAUAUAACGUUAGAAUAAGCUUAAAUUUGAAAGUUUCGAGCAGCUUUUGUCAGUCUCCAUUUACCAUCCAGAAAUGUGCAAGCCUCAAACGACUGCUUCUUGGGCAUUCGUUUUGUGUGUGUUAGGUUGUGUGUCUGUGCACAGCCGAGUAGUUCGAAGAGAUGUCGAUUCACUGGAAUUAGUGCACGUCUUAUUCAGACAUGGAGACCGAACACCAGACAAAAGUGCACUUUA